UACGUAGGGAGCAAGCGUUGUCCGGAAUCAUUGGGCGUAAAGCGCGCGUAGGCGGCCUCGUAAGUCCGUUGUGAAAGUCAAAGGCUCAACCUUUGAAAGCCGAUGGAUACUGUGAGGCUAGAGUCCGGAAGAGGCGAGUGGAAUUCCUGGUGUAGCGGUGGAAUGCGCAGAUAUCAGGAGGAACACCUGCGGUGUAGACGGCUUACUGGACGGUAACUGACGCUGAGGCACGAAAGCGUGGGUAGCAAACAGGG
rnacentral:rRNA from 1 species